rnacentral:rRNA from 1 species
UAAUACGGAGGGUGCAAGCGUUAUCCGGAUUCACUGGGUUUAAAGGGUGCGUAGGUGGGCAAGUAAGUCAGUGGUGAAAUCUCCGGGCUUAACCCGGAAACUGCCAUUGAUACUAUUUGUCUUGAAUACUGUGGAGGUCAGCGGAAUAUGUCAUGUAGCGGUGAAAUGCUUAGAUAUGACAUAGAACACCAGUUGCGAAGGCAGCUGGCUACACAAAUAUUGACACUGAGGCACGAAAGCGUGGGGAUCAAACAGGAUUAGAUACCCUGGUAGUCCACGCCCUAAACUAUGGAUACUCGACAUUUGCGAUAAACUGCAAGUGUCUGAGCGAAAGCAUUAAGUAUCCCACCUGGGAAGUACGAUCGCAAGAUU